UGGUGGAGGCUGAGGGUGGCGGCGGAGGCGGGUGCGCGUGACGCGCGUGACCCCAUGUGCCUGCAAAGCCAAAUCCGUCAGUAUGUGAACAAUAAUGACAAGGGCGUACGACAAGAAACCUCAAAAAAUAAUGGCCAAAAGUAUUGACUACACGUGAAGCAUUUUCUAGUCAGAUAAGUAUUUUUUGGCAUUGCCAUGUAUGCCCUUCAUAAAUUAUAAUGCCCCUCUAUUUCUAAAUGUGCAGCACGCACUUACUUACGAAAUUUAAUUUACGUUUUGUCAUUGGAAAGUUCCUCACAUUUUAGAACACAAUUGAGAAUAAAAUAAACGGCAGAUGCCAUCUAUGGAAGAAUAUUUAUUAUAUAAUUUAUUGAAUGAUAUGCACAGCAUCACUAAUUAAAAACCACAAAGUUUUAGUUUAAAACAUCUGAUCAAAGUCUCUUUCCUUGUUCAACAGUCAGAAUUGGGCUACUUUUAAAUUAAUUUAGAAAACAUAAAGUAAAUCGGAUGGGCUUUCAAAUUUCAAUUGAAAUGGGAAUAAUUUUUUUCAUUUCUUGAUUUUAAAAUUCACUUGUAAAAUUCGAAACUGCCUUUCUUCCUCCAAUUUAAAUCAUAUUAAUAAAAAUUUGUAUUACCAGCACGAGGUCUGAGGGGAGGGAGACUGUCAUGGUGCGACAUUGUAGUCCCAUCGACGUCCUCCGUCACUAUCACCGGCAGAGGCUGAGAGCCCAGCUCCUGAAAGAACAUAAUUUGAUUAACGAGUGGUAAAAAUGAACGUUUUGAAAGGGACGCCAACCCCUUUGAUGCUUUUAUGAGUCGCGCACGAGAUGGGAGCGAUUAGUCACGCGUCACCUCGCUAAAACGCGAAAAACAAUCGGAAUGGAACGGGCGGCGUUUGUUUGUUCGUUAUUUUCAAGAGGAAUCUGCAAAUAGCCUUGUUUUUCAGUUCAGAUUCCACGGCGGUGACUAGUGCGGCCCCCGCGGGGCCACGGGCGCCCCGACCAAUGUACUGACCCAUAGGAUAGAGUGGACGUCGGGGCUGCGAGCGGCGCAAGUCUUGGAGCACCACAUUAUGCACUGAUAGAGCGCGGAUCGGGCGACUCGCAGUAAGAUCCAAGCUUGGGUCGCCGCCAAAUUAACAUGUGAUGCUCGCAGCGAGAGGGUGAUUUAAAUUUAACGUGGUGUGUAUUCUCUGUUCUCGUCGUGCAGCAAGAGGCUCGCGAAAACAAGACACAGUUUCUUCUUCAGAUUAUUCGUGGAAGUGGUCAAGUGGGGAGGGAAUGGCAAAAAUCCCGCAUUCUGUCAGAAAAUUUCCAUCGCAAUGACGCACCCAGCUGCCGUUAUUUGUUUGAAAACUAACUUAUCGAGCUGAAUGCCAAUAUUUCACACGCAUUUUGUAAAUUUCAGGUGGCACUGCCGGAAAAAUUCCAGGAGAUACCAUGCACAAAGUUUAUGCGGGAAAGGAAGUGCACAGGGAAGAUUUCCGGUCAUGCGUGUCAAAUUAAUACAAUACGAUAUUAAAAAAUACGACAACUUGAUAGCUGCUGCCUGGGCUGCAGACAAAUUCUUAUCGCGUUCGGCAAAACAACCAGCAAAGUUUUGUAUAGUGAUGAUGAAGUUCAAAACCAGAAAGGAAAGCGCGUGAAAAAAAGUUUUAGAGAACAUCUUCUCGCAAGGAAAGUUUGGAAAGCUCACUUGGAAAUAUUAAUUAAAAGUUGAGGGCUGCACGCAGUGUGUAACCCGAAAUCGCUGCUCACGUCAUGACGACAAAGGCGUGUGCCUGCCUCAUUUUUUUUACGGUGCUCUUGAACGAAAAUAAAGGCUCUGCGCUAUUUUCUCUCAACUUACUGGUAUUUCAAUAGGCACAUGUGUAUUUAUUGAUUCCAGGUUUGACAUUUCUCGGGCCGAAAGCGUGUUGUAGGGUUUCGUGCUAGGAAGAAAGUGGCGUGUGGCGAACAGGAAAGAAUGACUUUUCGGCGUUUACCGCGGCGACGGAAGUCGCAAAAAUUUACAUACCAGCAGCGACUAAGCGCGAAAUCAGCCAUUUUAUAAAUAAUAUUUUUUUUUCAGCAGCGAGUGUGGUCGGCUGGUGUAAUUGGGACAGGUAAAUCCGAUUACAGCAGAGACAGCAGAGCAAUAAAUCCACAGCUGAUUAUCAUUUAAAAGUGUUUAGUGAUGAAACUGACGAUCGAUUUUUCUCGGAAUUCACGCCAUAAUUGUUUUAGGACCUUCCUUACACACCGAUAUUCAAAAUUCUGCCACACGCUACUUUAGAGACGUCAGGCAUUUGAGAAUACAAUACGAGUUUCGAAAGGUUGGGAAUGGAUUUUGGACCAAUAAAGAGCUUAUUCAAGAGAUAAGUUAUUAGAAAAAGGAUUAUUUAUAUUAAGAAUAAAAGGAGCGUUAUCUCCAUGUUCUAGUUAAUUAAACGGACGGAGACAUUCAUUAAUUACUUUGGCGAGACGAAAAGCUUUAUUUUUAAUUUUAGUUCCAGAAAUGUCGAAAGAUAAUAAAUGUUGAUAAAUAAUACAUACACAAAUUACUAAAUGAAAAUAAAUAAUAUUUAUUAGCAAUAUCAACCAAAUUUUUAAAGCUUUUCACUUCUCAUAUUACAUAAUAUAUUGAAUCUCAUGCUUUUAAAGGGAAAAUAUAAUCAACCAGUUUUUGUAUAGAAUACACAUAUAAGCUGGUGAGAAAGCAAGGCGUCCAAUUGAAAUGUUUCACUCGCGAUCGUGUUAGUAAUAAAAUUUCAUCGCAAUUAUUACUCACCGCACGGCAGACGGCUCAUUAUUAAAUUACU